rnacentral:rRNA from 1 species
UACGUAGGGUGCAAGCGUUGUCCGGAAUUAUUGGGCGUAAAGAGCUCGUAGGCGGUUUGUCGCGUCUGCUGUGAAAAUCCGGGGCUCAACCCCGGACUUGCAGUGGGUACGGGCAGGCUAGAGUGUGGUAGGGGAGACUGGAAUUCCUGGUGUAGCGGUGGAAUGCGCAGAUAUCAGGAGGAACACCGAUGGCGAAGGCAGGUCUCUGGGCCACUACUGACGCUGAGAAGCGAAAGCAUGGGGAGCGAACAGG